rnacentral:misc_RNA from 1 species
GAUGAAGAACGCAGCGAAAUGCGAUAAGUAAUGUGAAUUGCAGAAUUCAGUGAAUCAUCGAAUCUUUGAACGCACAUUGCGCCCAUUGGUAUUCCGAGGGGCAUGCCUGUUCGAGCGUCAUUAUAACCCCUCAAGCUCAGCUUGGUGUUGGGGCCUGCCGCACGGGCAGCCCUUAAAAUCAGUGGCGGUGCCAUCUGGCUCUAAGCGUAGUAAUUCUUCUCGCUAUAGAGUCCCGGUGGAUGCUUGCCAUUAACCCCCAAUUUUCUAUGGUUGACCUCGGAUCAGGUAGGGAUACCCGCUGAACUUAAGCAUAUCAAUAAGCGGAGGA